CGAAGACUCAAAGUCUGGUUCAUCAGAUGAUGGAGCCGCAGCAGAUGCCACCAAGAAGGAGCUCUUAAGGGCUAUAGAGCUAAGACUUGAAGAUAUUAAAAAGGACUUAACAAUGUCCAUUUCUCAUGCAUCAGCUAGCGGUUUUGACCCUCAUACUGUUUCCGAAGUCAAAAUUUGCUGAUAAAUUUGGGUGAAGCAUGCAGAAAAUAUUUCUGACUAUGGAAGAAAAGGCCAGACUCGAUGGAUAUGAAGCACUCAAAUAAUCUGGCUAGUGUUGAUAAUGUUAGUCUUGAAAAAGAUGGCACGCGCCAGAAGAAACAGAACAUCAGAUGCAACAGUGUGCUAUAGCAAAAGGAAUUCAGAGGAGAAAACUGUUGAGAGUUUGGAUGUAACCUCUUCUACAGAUUGCAUGUAACGCCAGGCCUUCUGUUUUUGUAUGAACACAUUGAUUACAAUCCCAAAUCGAAACUGCGGUAUAC